rnacentral:misc_RNA from 1 species
GAUGAAGAACGCAGCGAAAUGCGAUAAGUAAUGUGAAUUGCAGAAUUCAGUGAAUCAUCGAAUCUUUGAACGCACAUUGCGCCCGCCAGUAUUCUGGCGGGCAUGCCUGUUCGAGCGUCAUUUCAACCAUCAAGCCCCCGGCUUGUGUUGGGGACCUGCGGCUGCCGCAGGCCCUGAAAUGCAGUGGCGGGCUCGCUGUCACUCCGAGCGUAGUAGUUACAUCUCGCUCUGGGCGUGCUGCGGGUUCCGGCCGUUAAAAGCCUUAUUUACCCAAGGUUGACCUCGGAUCAGGUAGGAAGACCCGCUGAACUUAAGCAUAUCAAUAACGGAGGA